GUGAAUCUUUUACUAAACCCAAAACUAGCUCGAACCUAAAUGUAUGUCCAGCCUAGUUGUACUUUAAAAAUAUGUCAUUAGUUUGUUUACUGACCAAUAUUUAACUGACAAUUGCAUUCAAAUCAAUACAAGAUUCAAAUCGAUAGCAGCAGUGGACAAUCAUCUACUUGGGGAAAAUUGGAGGUGAUUUUUUUAACCAAAGAUCGUAAUGAAACGUUCCAAUUGACCAGUGAAUCAGAUGAGAUAAAAGAUGAAUCCUUAAUCCAAGGCUUAGUCGUGGCUCAUCCUUUAGUUCGUAAUAUUACCUCAGCAAUUGUUAAAUACACAAAAUAUCGAGGAUGGAUUUACUCUGGAAAAGAUUUCUGGGGAAUUGAUAAAAUUGUAUUAACAAAUUCUGAUGGCGAAAUGAUCUCUUAUUGUGGUUACAAUACAAUCCUUGAAGACAGUAUACCUUUACAAUUGGAACUUGUUAAAGGUAACUGUACCGUUGAGAUAACAGCUGAUGCAAGUUACAACAAUCGUUUGGCUCGAUUGGUUUGGCAAGUUGUCUCUGGACCAAGUAAGGGUCGCCCACCUAAACUACUUUGGCGUCUA